CACCUCUAGCAUUUCUAGUAUUAGAGGCACUGCCUGCCCAGUGACAACUGUUAAACGGCCGCGGUAUCCUGACCGUGCAAAGGUAGCAUAAUCAUUUGUUCCUUAAAUAGGGACUUGUAUGAAUGGCCACACGAGGGUUUAACUGUCUCUUACUUCCAAUCAGUGAAAUUGACCUCUCCGUGAAGAGGCGGAAAUAAAUGAAUAAGACGAGAAGACCCUAUGGAGCUUUAAUUUACUUAAUUCAACAGGAAUUGAUUCAUUACCCACCAGGAAUAAUAAACACCCUGUAUGAAUUAAAAAUUUUGGUUGGGGUGACCUCGGAGUACAAACAAACCUCCGAGAUAUUUAUACCAAGACCCACAAGUCAAAGUAACUAAUUCAACUGAUCCAGUCUAACUGAUCAACGGAACAAGUUACCCUAGGGAUAACAGCGCAAUCCUAUUCAAGAGUCCAUAUCGACAAUAGGGUUUACGACCUCGAUGUUGGAUCAGGACAUCCCAAUGGUGCAGCAGCUAUUAAUGGUUCGUUUGU
rnacentral:rRNA from 1 species